AGUGAACGCUGGCGGUAGGCCUAACACGUGCAAGUCGAACGGCAGCACAGUAAGGGCUUGCUCUUACGGGUGGCGAGUGGCGGACGGGUGAGGAAUACAUCGGAAUCUACUUUUUCGUGGGGGAUAACGUAGGGAAACUUACGCUAAUACCGCAUACGACCUACGGGUGAAAGCAGGGGAUCUUCGGACCUUGCGCGAUUGAAUGAGCCGAUGUCGGAUUAGCUAGUUGGCGGGGUAAAGGCCCACCAAGGCGACGAUCCGUAGCUGGUCUGAGAGGAUGAUCAGCCACACUGGAACUGAGACACGGUCCAGACUCCUACGGGAGGCAGCAGUGGGGAAUAUUGGACAAUGGGCGCAAGCCUGAUCCAGCCAUACCGCGUGGGUGAAGAAGGCCUUCGGGUUGUAAAGCCCUUUUGUUGGGAAAGAAAAGCAGCAGGUUAAUACCCCGCUGUUCUGACGGUACCCAGAAUAAGCACCGGCUAACUUCGUG
rnacentral:rRNA from 1 species